rnacentral:rRNA from 1 species
GUCCACGCCGUAACGAUGAAUGCUAGCCGUUGGCAGCUUGCUGUUCAGUGGCGCAGCUAACGCAUUAAGCAUUCCGCCUGGGAGUACGGCCGCAAGGUUGAACUCAAAGGAAUUGACGGGGCCCGCACAAGCGGUGGAGCAUGUGGUUUAAUUCGACGCAACGCGCAGAACCUUACCAGGGUUUGACAUCCUGCGACCGCCCUCUAAUAGGGGUUUUCCCGCAAGGGACGCAGAGACAGGUGCUGCAUGGCUGUCGU